AAACGCCCGAAAUGUCAAACGUGUUUGUGUUUUUUUCUACAGUUUCUUUCAUCUGUUUUCGCGUUUUUGAAGCAAAAUCGUGAACAUCCAUCGCUUGGGACUCAAUUUUGCAGCACAAUGCUCAUACAAUCGCGGCUGGACGGCCACAUCGACCCGAAUCCCGACGUCCAAGGCAGCGCCGGGAGAGCCGCAAGAACGGCUAGAAUUCCUGGAAAGAUCAAAUUCAAGGCCGAUCUGGAUGGCCUUGAUUCAAGUGGAUAUGGGAUCGAGGCAUUUUUGUAAAGGCAAACACGACUGGAAGUACCGAGAAUUAUGCUGACAUUGUGAUUUUGGCAUGCACGAGGUUACAUGAUCACAAACUGAACGACUAGGUUUGUAAAUACUUCAAAUCAAGCGGACCAUGAUCAAACUAAUGGCUCAGCAGUUUAAAAUCAUUCAUAACUUUCGGUUUGAUAAAACGGUGAAUUUGGCACGUAGGUUAUUUUUUCUUCCAGCCCUUAUUUAUGCAAUAAUCGUUAGAUUAGCAUCUACAAGACUAGUUGUUCCCAGUUUAUUUUGUAUAUUUCUCUGUUGGAUUUAGAAUUUGACAUUAUUUACAAAUUCUUUGCCUUUGACAGUUUAAAUGGUUCACUAUAGUUUUCCUUUCUGGUCAAACAAACGUACUUUUUGAAUAUUUUCAGGUGCUAAAUUUGACCAUAAAGUUAAUCAAAGGUGUACCUUUUUAUGCUUCGUCAGGCUAUAAAGUAUUUGAAAAUUACAUCAGAUUCUAGAUUCAACGGAGCAAAAAAAAUUUUUGGUUGGGUAAAUUUACGUAGAUUUCAUCGGAAAUUUACAUGUUUUCGUGACAUUUUUGUUCGGCGCGUUUACAUCGGAUGGCAUUUAAAUUUCCGAUGAACUUCAUGUAAAUUAGCAUCAUUAAUGACGUGCACUUUUGGUACAUCAUAAAUGAUGUAAAUUUACCCAAUUU